GACGAACGCUGGCGGCGUGCCUAAUACAUGCAAGUCGAACGCUGAAGGAGGAGCUUGCUUCUCCGGAUGAGUUGCGAACGGGUGAGUAACGCGUAGGUAACCUGCCUGGUAGCGGGGGAUAACUAUUGGAAACGAUAGCUAAUACCGCAUAACAGUAGAUGUUGCAUGACAUUUGCUUAAAAGUUGCAAUUGCAUCACUACCAGAUGGACCUGCGUUGUAUUAGCUAGUUGGUGAGGUAACGGCUCACCAAGGCGACGAUACAUAGCCGACAGGGGAGGGGGGGCGGCCGGACUGGGAGGGUGACAGGGCACAGAGGGACUGGGGAGGCAGCAGGAGGGAGUCGUGGGGAAGGGGUGGAAGGCUGAGCGCGCAAGGCGGAGGGAGGGUAGAAGGGUUUCGGAUCGGAGAGGUCGGUUGUAAGGGAAGAAAGAGUGUGAGAGUGGAAAGUUCAGAGUGUGACGGUAGCUGACCAGAAAGGGACGGCUAACUACGUG
rnacentral:rRNA from 1 species